GAGGCAGGAGGCGCGGCAGCCUCUCCUGUGUCACCGAGCCUGUUGGCCGUGCUGUGGUCCCAGAAUAUGCCCACGAGGGGUGUGUGUGUGUGUGUGUGUGUGUGUGUGUGUGUGCGUGUGUGCGCGCGCGGGCGCGUGCGCAUUCCUCGGCCUGCCUGACCCACUGAUUUCAGCAGAAUAUGAGCUCUCCAUGGGCCUGGACGGAGGCCACCGGACGCCCAGCCCGCCCGCUUGUCAGAAAGGCGAGCUGCGGGUUACCUGGGGAUAACCUGUCUGAGCUCAGGCCGCAGGGGCGGGGACGGCCGCCCCGGUGCCAGCCUCGCAGGCAGGGAGCCGGGAACAAAGGAACCCUGUCUUGGCUCCUCGCCUGGCGAGAGCCGAUCUUAACCUGCAGGCGCUCAGGUGCCCCUCACCGGCGGCAGCCGGCAGUGGCCACCACGUUGCCAUGACAACCGUACCUGGCUACCCUCCCUCUGCUCCUGGGAGGGGCGGGGGGGGGGGGGCGAACCACCCCAGCACAGACCAAGCACAUCCGGGGGCCUCCCAGCGCAGCUCGAGGCUGAGCAGGGGGCAAAACCCCGGCCUGGGCGGUGCGAGGGGACAACGGUCCCGUCUGCCAUUCAGUCAACACUGAGUCUCCGCUUCUAGCCGGACGCAGGGCUCGGAGCCCCGACAGGCCUCGCUCCCUGCAGCCCCCUCCCACGGGCUGCUGCUCCCCUAGAGCGGGUGGCAAGGCGCUCAGCAGACAGAGAACAACAGACAGCAUGUACAUUUAAUUAUAACUCUCCCGGAUAGGAAGGGCUGGCUAUAUACAGUGCGUCUGCCUGUUACUAAUUAUAUUUAUUUUCAAACGAAGAAGGGGAGGGGGGGGGGAAUCUUCUGAAGAUGAGUCAGAAAAAAAAAAAAAAAAAAACCUUCAUUGUUAUGAAAGCGGAGGAACGUCUCCUGAGGGUGUCUGUAACGCAUCGCUGUCACGGCCUGACAAUGGAAAAGCUGAGCGCAGAGCCAAGCCAGCCGGUAAACACCUCGUGGCGGCUUUCCUGGCCAGGGCCCUGCGAGCCGGUACCUGCGCCACAUGCCCAAGCACGAUCAAUAUGAAAGGCCUUCUCCCUCCCGGACGGAGCCGCCGCUUAGAGCCUGGCUGAGCAUCCUAUUCCUGCAAAGACGGGGCCGUGCGGCAUCUGCUGUCACCUUAAUUGGGAGGCAGCGUUCCAGUUGAAACACAGCAAAGGUUUCUCCCUCAUCAAAGGAAAAGCGUCCUGAGCAGAUGGCUGAAAUGAAAAGGCUUCGUCUUCAGCCUCCAUGCAGCCAACGGUGUUAUUAAUAACAGCACCGAGAAUGCCACAAACCAAACGAGAGCACCUAGAAACCCAAAAUAGUCACCCGCAUGCAGGCCAGAAGUCGCCGGCACUUGGGGGGCGGGCGCAUGAAUCUCUGGUUUCAGGGGGAGACGCGGCCGCACACACGGGGGACUCGCGUCCGUGUCUGUGUCCGCCGUCUGUGCGUGUCAGGUGCACAUGGCUGCUUUUGGGGGGCCCGUCGGUCAGGCCCGCUCUGCCUGUCGGCCCCCUCUUCCUUUGAGACCACACGGCUGCCCUGCCCCCUCCGCACAGAUACACCCAUGGGGUGAGGGCCACAGGGAGCUUGAGGGGACGCAUGCGCCCCAGGGAGCCACCCAAAGACACAGUGUUCACAACGGGGUUUCCAAUAAUUUUUUAAAUAGCCACACUUGUUUUGUUUGCUUUCUUCCAGGAAGGCUGCACUGUUCUGGAAAAGGAGGGGGAGGCAAGAAAAAUGUGAGUUCAUUUCCUGAGUCUUUUAAAUCUUUCUCCGUAGACGGAGCACCGAGGAGCCGUGGCCGGAGGGCAGAGCGGCCUCAGGCACGCAGCACACAUGGAAGGAGGUUCGGAACUUGUCCCCGCCGCGUGCUCUUUCCAGGCCAUGGCAGGACGCUGGGUUUAGCGAUGAGACCACACUGAAGGAUCCGGAUGCACGUGGGCUCUCCACCUCCCUCCCAAGAAAAUGGUUUGAAGGCCAGUUGCUUUCACAAUGGGUUUUUCCCGUUUGCCCAGGCAAGGUUGGACUGUGAAAUCGGUUCAUCUCAAAGAGAGGGCAGAAAAUGGAUCCGAUGCCGGAUUACCGGGGACACGGGAGAGUUUGGAAGGAGCCAACGCUUGUCAGAGUGCCUUUCCACACACAUUAUUUUACCCACUUCUCAGAGCAACCCCGUGAAGCACAUGGCGGUGUGCCCGUUCCACAGGCGAGGCUCUGGGGGUGAAGCAGCAAAUCCAAGGGCACCUCACCUCCCCUGCAGACAAAUCAUCUUUCCUGUCGUGAGCUACCUCCCCUUCGUUGCUGCAGUCAGCAUCUUACGCCAAAGUUCUUCGUGGGAUGGGCUGGCCCACAUCCAUCUGCCCGUCUCCCCAGCCAGGAUGAAGACACCAUGAAGAUGGGGACUUUCCUUGCUCACAGAUGUGUGUGGUUGUGUGGUGGCCCGUCACGACCUUGAGCACAGUAGCUCUGUAGUAUGUAUCUGUCCUACGAGGGAAGGACUGAAUGAAUGAAAGAGUCCCGCCCCCGAAGGAGGAAAGGGGGUCCAAAUGAGAAGCAUGGCGAUCUCUGGCGGGCCAGCUGAGAUGCUACAAGGGUCAUUCUGAAGCCAGAGGCACAGGAUGCCCCAAGCUGAGCAAACCAUGACCUGGAGGGCCCAGCUGUCAGGCAGUGGAGUGGCCUUUGCCCCUCAUAUCCGGGCACCGUGGGCCCAUGCACAGCACAUGCGGCCAGAGCACCUUUAGACAGAUGCACCCUCAGGAACCCAGAGAGCCCUGCUUUUCCCUGGAAGUGGCCUGGCAAGUCAGGGGCAGGGUCUGGCAUCAGAGCUGUCAGUCCUUCCCAGAAAUUCCGAGCGGCCCAUGGAUUAAAGCGAGGACCAGCUUUUGGAACAACGGUCCCCGUUCUGGUUUUGCCUCACAGAGACGAUGCCUGGCCUCACAGUUCGGGAGCCUGGCCCCUGAGUAAGUCUCCCUAAUCCUCACUGUGCCUUCCCCCUGCUCUCCUCUGAGACCCCAAGGUGGCUUCAGUGGACGGUCAGACAGAGGAAAAUACAGCAGACGGAAGGCCGCACAGAAGACAGGCCUGGAAAGAGGAGGCUCCCCCACCCCGGCCGUCGUGCCUCCCUGCAGGCUGAUUUUGCUCUGACAGCCUUGCGGGUGUUUGUCUUUGAUCUUGGUUGUCAGCACAAGCAAGUGUAAGUGCUGACUGUGCCUGGCCUUGCCUUCAACACCACAACUGCUGGGGACACCCAGGCCCCUGCCCUCAGAAGGUGCCCAGUCCCAAACGACGCCAGGCAGCAAACCAAGCCCCCCAACCCCCGCCCCCAGAGCCCAGAGGCAGGAGCCAGGCUGCCUGCCACUCAGGGUCCGCUGCUCCUCUGGGCAGAUGUGAAGAAGCUAGGCGCUCCCAGCCUCAAAGGGCCAAUUCCUCCCUUUUGGACUCUUAGUUUCUGGUUCUGCUGGGUCACGGUUUAAGAGGAAGUAGAUCCCGUCAUCUCUAGGACAGCAAAUGGGGGACUCGUAACAAAUCACCCGUAAUGAGACCACAUUCUGUUCCGGGUCACACAGAGUAAACGUUAGAAACCAGACUCGGCACAUCUCCUUUCUUCUGACAGGUGGCCCUUCGGAGCUGUGGCAAAAAUGACCACUCUGGGGCCCAGAGGGCCAGGACCGCCUGCGGGCACAGUGCGUGAUGCAUGGCAGAGGAGACCUGGGGACACCGGCACUCACCCCUGGACCGUGCCUUCCACGACAACUUCCCUCCAAAAGGCCAUUUGGCUACAACGUAUCAUAUGACUUGUUCUUAGAGUUACAUUUUAACUGACAAAGUUUAACAACAACUAUGACUUAUGGCCUUCUAAAAUUGGCAGCAGAAAAAUGAACUGAGGAAGUAAUGGAAAAAAACCACAAGUGAAGCCACUCUGUAUUAUGCACAAUUUCUGUUGUGCUUUUUUUUCCCUUCCCAAGCAUGUGUGUGUGUGUGUGUGCGCGCGUGUGUGUGCGCGCAUGCGCGUGCCCAUGUGUGUGUCUGUGUGUGUGUUUUCGAAGGGUAGCAAAUAUUUUCCAGAUACACUGUCCUGGCGUUCCCAAGCACAUAUUCAUGCCAAGUUUAUAAAAAGCAGCUGCAGACAGGGUUGACUGAAAGGAUUGCUCUGCUGUCUGGCUUCCAGAAGGUGCUUCGGUUCUUACUCUGUCACCAGGACAGCCUUACCUCCCAAAACUCUCUGACCCGCGCUGCACGUCUGGAAGAGGACAAACCCGCGGCACAGAGUGACCUGGACGAGCGCUCGCCCCUGGCUCUUCUGACCUUCCGCAUCACGCGUCUGGUCCGCAAGUAUCGUGGCGACUUCUCAGAUACCUGUCCAGACCAUGACUCUCAGAACUGUUGGCCACACCGGCAGAGUUAAGGCCCCAACAUGGUGUUUAUACUUCAUGACCCCAGACCCGGACUACAGUUGAGUACGUAAGAGAUGGGCAGCUGCCCAGAAACAGAGUGCUAGCAGGGGAGGAGCAAAGAGGGAGACACAGAAUCCGAAGCAGUCUCCAGGCUCUGAGCUGUCAGCACAGAGCCUGACGUGGGGCUCGAACUCACGAACCAUGAGAUCAUGACUGGAGACGAAGUUGAAUGCUUAUCCGACCAAACCACCCAGGCGCCCCAGCCCCUGCGGACAAGACCAUCUAAACACUUCUUCCCAGAUCUGAGAAACAAUAAGAUCACCCAACCCAGUGCAACAAACCUCAUCUCCCAGAGCCACAUUCUGUUUUUGAAAAUAAAGGGAAGUUUCUAAACAGACCAUGUUACCUUAUGAAUUAAAAUGUUUAACAGACUAGGCAUAUAAUGGAUCAGUAAAUAUUCACAUUAUCAUUUCUAUUACUGGUGUGUUCAAAACUUAUUUACAAAUCAAUCAUACUUUCUUGUUGCUAUAAAUUUUAACUUCAAAAACAUUUUCUUGUUCGUAUCUACUAGGACCUCAUUUAUCAAUAAUGUGGUUUUUUUUUAAACGUUUAUUUAUUUUUAAGAAACAGAGUGCUAGCAGGGGAGGAGCAAAGAGGGAGA